rnacentral:rRNA from 1 species
AACCGACUUACGUUGAAAAGUGAGCGGAUGAACUGAGGGUAGCGGAGAAAUUCCAAUCGAACCUGGAGAUAGCUGGUUCUCUCCGAAAUAGCUUUAGGGCUAGCCUCAAGUGAUGAUUAUUGGAGGUAGAGCACUGUUUGGACGAGGGGCCCCUCUCGGGUUACCGAAUUCAGACAAACUCCGAAUGCCAAUUAAUUUAACUUGGGAGUCAGAACAUGGGUGAUAAGGUCCGUGUUCGAAAGGGAAACAGCCCAGACCACCAGCUAAGGUCCCAAAAUAUAUGUUAAGUGGAAAAGGAUGUGGCGUUGCCCAGACAACUAGGAUGUUGGCUUAGAAGCAGCCAUCAUUUAAAGAGUGCGUAAUAGCUCACUAGUCGAGUGACACUGCGCCGAAAAUGUACCGGGGCUAAACAUAUUACCGAAGCUGUGGAUUGUCCUUUGGACAAUGGUAGGAGAGCGUUCUAAGGGCGUUGAAGCAUGAUCGUAAGGACAUGUGGAGCGCUUAGAAGUGAGAAUGCCGGUGUGAGUAGCGAAAGACGGGUGAGAAUCCCGUCCACCGAUUGACUAAGGU